rnacentral:rRNA from 1 species
CUGAACCAGCCAAGUAGCCUGAAGGAUGACUGCCCUAUGGGUUGUAAACUUCUUUUAUAAAGGAAUAAAGUCGGGUAUGCAUACCCGUUUGCAUGUACUUUAUGAAUAAGGAUCGGCUAACUCCGUGCCAGCAGCCGCGGUAAUACGGAGGAUCCGAGCGUUAUCCGGAUUUAUUGGGUUUAAAGGGAGCGUAGAUGGAUGUUUAAGUCAGUUGUGAAAGUUUGCGG